GAUGAAGAACGCAGCGAAAUGCGAUAAGUAGUGUGAAUUGCAGAAUUCAGUGAAUCGUCGAAUCUUUGAACGCACAUUGCGCCCCUUGGUAUCCCGAGGGGCAUGCCUGUUCGAGCGUCAUUUCACCACUCAAGCCUGGCUUGGUGUUGGGCGACGUCCUCUUUGGGGACGCGCCUCGAAACGCUCGGCGGCGUGGCACCGGCUUUAAGCGUAGCAGAAUCUUUCGCUUUGGAAGUCGGGGCCCCGUCUGCCGGAAGACCUGCUCGCAAGGUUGACCUCGGAUCAGGCAGGGAUACCCGCUGAACUUAAGCAUAUCAAUAAGCGGAGGA
rnacentral:misc_RNA from 1 species